ACGAAAGUCUGAUGGAGCAAUUCCAUGUGAACGAAGAAGGUCUUUUUGAUUGUAAAGUUCUUUUAUGAGGGAUAACAACUGAUAGUACCUCAUGAAUAAGUGACAGCAAACUAUGUGCCAGCAGCUGCGGUAAUACAUAGGUCGCAAGCAUUAUCCGGAUUUAUUGGGCGUAAAGCAAGCGCAGGCGGAUGUGUAAGUUCUGUGUUAAAAGUAGCUACUUAAUAGUUGUUUGCACCGAAUA
rnacentral:rRNA from 1 species